AUUGAACGCUGGCGGCAUGCUUUCCACAUGCAAGGCGGACGAGUGGCGAACGGGUGAGUAACGCAUCGGAACGUACCGAGUAAUGGGGGAUAACUGUCCGAAAGGACAGCUAAUACCGCAUAUUAUUCGAGCGGCCGAUGUCUGAUUAGCUGGUUGGCGGGGUAAAGGCACACCAAGGAGACGAGCAGUAGCGGGUCUGAGAGGAGGAUCCGCCACACUGGAGCGGAGACGAGGCCCAGACUCCUACGGGAGGCAGCAGUGGGGAAUUUUGGACAAUGGGAGCAAGCCUGAUCCAGCCAUGCCGCGUGUCUGAAGAAGGCCUUCGGGUUGUAAAUGACUUUUGUCAGGGAAGCGGUACCUGAAGAAUAAGCACCGGCUAACUACGUGCCAGCAGCCGCGGUAAUUC
rnacentral:rRNA from 1 species